CAACCUACCUACUCAGCCGCAUCGUCUCACGAAUGACUACAAUAUUUAGUCAUUUAGAGUACGAUGAAAAACGCCGAAUUCAAGAUAGAACGACAGUAAAUACGAUUUUAAAAUGCCUUUUAUAAAGUUAUCAGAUGUAGUACGAAAGCAGAAGGAACAGGGAAGAAAAUUAGGGAAACACGAUCGAUCGAAUCGACCAUACGUAUAUUUGCUUAUUGUCGAUUACCGAAGGGUCAACUCACAGCCUAUAGCAUUGAGAAAAUCUUUUAUUUUUGUAAAUUAUUUUUGUAAAUAAUGAAAUAGGAAAAUGUGCACACAAAGCUUUGUGGAUUUGUUGGUAUGGAAAGGUUGCUUCGGUGACGAUGUACCGUAUAGCGAAUUAAUGCCAGGGCGUCAUUCCCUGUCGAUUUGUUUUCCUUUUCGAAAACCCGACUAGUAAAGGUCGAAUCAAGGAUCGAAUGACAGAAUAUAUGAUUUUUAAUUCUUUUUAAAAAUGCAGCAGACGCUUUACAAAAGCAGAAUUAAUCAGCAAAAGGAUUAAACACAUCGGCAAACACGAAAUUGACAGAAUUCCUAUACGUGCUUGCAUCGUGUAACGAAGGGUCAACAACACAUGCUAUAGCACUGGAAAAAGUGCUUAGAUUUAUAAUAACGAGAAAAAAUUGUCUAAAGAGAUUUGUGGAGUUUUUUAAUAUAUGAAAGUCUGUGUUGUUUUUAUUUUGAUGGGGAGUACGGGUGGGGGGACGUCAGUCAGUGUCAUUUGUUUUCCUUUUCCAAAGAGUUCCAAAACACGUCCAGAAUGCUUUCUAAAAAGUAUAGAGGCGGAUCACAAAAGCAGAAGGAAAAGGGGGAAAGUGAUAUAUUGUUCGAAAACGUAAGGAACGAUUUUUCGCCGUGGAUGUGAGAGCUUGGAUGCGGCUAAAGAAAACUCUUCAACAGGGGCAAAAUGUGCGUGUAAGCACCCAGACACAGGAGGAACGUGACACCUUCCAAGAUAUUCUUCGAGACAGCAUUAUGUAUUAGAAAGUUAGUUCCAUUCAAUUCUUACGAGGGCAGGUGCAACUGGAGUCAGCAAUCACAAGAAGACAAAAAGUGUCCGAGGCUGAGGGCUGGAAAGAUCUGCGAGCAGAAGAAUUCAGACCUGCCACAAAAAAGUGCAGCAUCUGUGGCUGCGCACAGAUUAUCUGGUGUCCUGAUUGUAGUCCUUGAAGCCUAUAUGGCAAAUCAUGUGAUGAAAAUAUCCAUUGUUUGGUGAUGUAUCAUCAGACAUACAGUUGGAAAGAAGACGCAUCAUUGUUUCUACCUGUGAAAAGAGAAGCAACCAUUUUGUGUGAGCACCAGUGUGACAAGCUCUACUACCGUCAGAUUAGAGUUUUUGAUGCACAAGGCAGAGAUCACAUCAGGAAAGUACAGUUCUGUGAAUGUGAGCCAGAAGCAGUAACACUAAUAAGAAAUGGCUUAUGGCCAGCAACACCAAAGAAGCCAGAGACUGCAUUUUGCAUGAAAGUGAUGGAGCAAUGCAGAAUGCUACAGUUAGAAGGACAAAUUUCUGUCCAGAAAUUUUGCAUGGCAUUGGAGCGGAGGACAACUUUUCUACAUAGUCACAGGCUCACAGCAUGACUACAGAAACAUGUACAAGGCACUGGGUAAACAUGCUAUCAUAUUUUGUCACAGCAUGACUACAGCAACAUGUACAAGACACUUGCUAAACAUAUCGUCAUAUGUUGUCCAAUAAGUCUAACUUUCAAGAAACUCCUCAUGGUAUAUUGCUUAAUGACUCCAUAGAGAACUGUAUCAGUGCCACUAGACCUGUAGUCAAGUAGUGCGACAGUUUCAUUUUAUGGAUGCAAAUAUAUUUUAAUUAUAAGUGUUAUAAGCCAAUAAUUUCAGUUUACAUUAUUUGGAAACUAUGGAAAGAAUACGUGGAUUGUGAAAAUGGUAUUUUAUGUGUUUGUUUAAUGGUUUGUUGUGGGUAACACAAUUAUAGAAUUUCACCAUCAUCAGGUGUUAUGUCUUGAGACAGCUCAUGCCCAAGACUUCCUGGGCAAGAAGUGCCCAGUAUGUAGUCUGAUAUGUUGUAUGGGUUAAGGAUUAGGCAUUUUAAGAAAUAUUUAAACACAGCUGUAUUCUGCAAACAAAAACACCCACAAAAGUUUAUUACACUUGAUUUUUACAUAAUAUUUUCACAUGGUUGCAAUUUAAGUUUUUGAAAAUAUGCCUAAUCUGUGCACAUCAGUUUCCCCGACGUUUUGAUAUAAAGAGAAUUUAUCAACAUUGUCUAAUGCCUACUGAGAAUUAGGAGGUCUUUCAAAAACAUAUCUUCUAUUUCAUGAGGAGUUAAUAGAUGUGAUUAGUGAUCUUCACUCAGAUAUCGAUUCGGAAUCUGGUUGUUGAGCUAUUACUUUCUUUAGUCAGUUUACUGAAGUGGACAAUUGAUGUGUUUAUUGAAAAUAUAAAGGUGUUUAAUGGAUGAUAGCAUGUUUAUUUUGUUUCAAAGCAUUGCUACAACCAACAUCAACAAAGGCUUUAUGAAUUCAUUGCUACAUUUUUGAACCAAGAACGGUCUAACCUUCUAAUUCUUUUUUUUAGCAAUGUUAUUUUUUAUAGUAUACAUACAAGCCACAUUCACACCGUGCAUCCAGUUGCUUUCACCCACAGAAACAAGCCAUUUAAUAUAUUUUAUAUGCCACUCUGGAGCAAGGCACGAGCUUAUUCUUAAGUAUAUUGCUGUGGCACAAUAUAUGUCUCGAGACUAUCAUUUGAGAAAAGAAUUGUACAUAACAGUAUACUGCCUUCUUGUAGCUCAUUCUCCUAAGUUUGAAGUGAUGGUAGUAAAUAAAACAGGGAAACAAACACAGUUUUUGCUUUGAGGAAAAUUAAGUGAAAAGAAUUUUCACUCGUAUAUCAUGUCAUUUACUUACAACAUAUUCUUACUAAGGAUGUUAUAUACACAGGUAGCUUUGUUAUAAAUCUUGAGAACUCUAUUUUUGUGUUCUGCAAUGGUGGUUACCUGUCAAAGAGGGAGAAAUGUCACAUGGAAAAGGACAUAGUCAAAUGUAUAAAUAUGUACGAAUAUCUAGCUGUGAUUGCUUUCAACAUUACUAUCAGUUUGUUGUGCUAUUGUGGAUGUUGCAUGGAGUGCCCCAAAAAAGUCAUAGGUAUAACCAUAUGUUUUUGGCACAUGGUGUGCAUUCACCACUAUUUUCACGUUUGUUCACAUUUGUUGCAUUUUGUGAUCAUUCAAAGUGACAUUGCUGCUAUCCUGUCAUGUCCCUUUUGUCCAGGUGUUGUAGAGUCGGUAAUACAUGUAAUGUUCUUAUGAUAAAGAUACAGGGUAGUAAGAAAGAAAUGUAAACAAUAAAUUGUUUCUUUCCCCGUAUUUUGCAUCUAGCAGGGAGACUUCUGUGGUCAGACAAACACUAUCCCUGUAAAUCCACCGCUUGACCUAGCACGAAUAGCUAUUUUACUGUACUUCAUUAAAGUGUAUGUUCAAUAAAUUGAAAAGGGCUUGAAAAACGA
rnacentral:lncRNA from 1 species